AUUGUUUCUCGGCCUUUCUCGGCUAAGAUCAAGUGUAGUAUCUGUUCUCGUUAGUUUAAAAAGUCAAUCCUCACUAUAAGCUUGUAUACAGGGAUCGGCCAUGCAUGUCUUCUUGACUUCCAUAUCCCUCAUCUAGUCAAAUGUCUGACACAAAAUAGGCAUUUAAUAUUUGUUAAAUGACCAUGGUUUCAUAAACAUCA